UGAGCUUCUUCUAACAAGUGGGAGCAGGGGAAGUCACACAAGAGCUGUAAGACCGAUCGAGAGAGCGUGCAAACUGCAAAGAUUUAUCUGUUUCACAAUACACGUUGUACGAAGAGUGAAAAGUGUUCAACUGGAAAUGGCCUGACUGAUUAUAAACGGUUGCAGCUACAUGGCGAGGAAGAUCAGAGCUGCCAUCUGUGGGGAGGAGCAGCCUGUGAAACCCACCCAACCAGAAUGUAGCUUGAGCAAAGUGUGUAAGGGGAAGAAGUCCCAGUGGGACGGUAAGGACUCCAUGGAUGAGCCAAGGCCAGGAGGAGUGGCGAUCCAGACCGUGGCAGCCAGGUCCUGAGGGUAGAACAGAGGGCCACUGACGUAGGGACAUGGACAGGAGUGGGGCCUGAACAGGCUCUGUGCACCACAGCCAUCCCCAGUGCAGCCUGGCCUUUCGGUCUGAGAGAGCCACCCUCUUAACUUUCUAGUCUGCAUCUGUCAAGGCCAAAAAUCAUCAUCACCUCACAAGUAAAAAUAUAAUUUCCACUAAAAUGUUUUGAAAAUGAUCAAAUUGAAAUUGAAAAUCCUACCCUUCUCCUCUCCUUCUCCUUCUCUUCUGCCCUUCUCCUCCCUCCAUGUUUUUACGACUUUCUCUCACUCUUCUUUUCUUUCCCAUUCCUUACAUUAUCCCUCUGUCCAUCCCUCUUACUCACUCCCUCUCUUGCUUUUUGCUGCCCCUCUGCCCCGCCCCUACUAAUUUGCCCACUGUUCUCUCUCCCCCUGGGCUCAGAAACAGGAUGUGCUUUAACAGCAAGGCAAAUGAUGGCCUGGCCAGCACUUCCCUGCAGAGGGAAAUGUCCAGUCCUGAAGACAACCCUUUGGGUCCUUGCUGUUGGCUUUGUCCUCUUAUUAUUUCCAUGUCUUGCUAUUAUUGUUUGUAACAAUCAUUCAUAAAUAAACAAGACUCUAAGAA